CCCACUUAUGUGCUACAUUAAGUAGCCUCCUUCCCACCACCAGAGUGACCUUGUGCACUUCCUAUGUGCAUACAGAGACCCUGUGUGGGUACAAGUACCACAUAAUCUUGCCACAUAAACAAUGGGCAGCCAUAUUUACUGACCAUGUGAUUUCAGAGACAAGUGUUUUCAUACUCAUUGCGAUUUAGUUCUUCAAGUUUCAUCACUUUAUUCACUCUUUGUGGACCUUGAAAGACCCCAUUUUGAUUGUUAUCUCAAUCUACUCAAUCUACUAUCAGCAAUCAC